rnacentral:sRNA from 2 species
AAAAUGGCUGGCUAGGGUUCCGGUUCAUCGCUGAUGAAUGCUGGUCCGAGAGCUGGCGACCUCUCUGAGGUUACACGGCGGGACAAAAGCCCGGGAGAC